rnacentral:sRNA from 1 species
ACUACUCCAACCGCAGUGGUGACACUCCCAUCACUGUGAGGCAGCUGGGGACAGCCUAUGUGAGUGCCACCACUGGAGCUGUGGCCACAGCCCUGGGACUCAAAUCCCUCACCAAGCACCUGCCCCCCUUGGUCGGCAGAUUUGUGCCCUUUGCAGCAGUGGCAGCUGCCAACUGCAUCAACAUCCCCCUGAUGAGGCAGAGAGAGCUGCAGGUGGGCAUCCCGGUGGCUGACGAGGCAGGUCAGAGGCUUGGCUACUCGGUGACUGCAGCCAAGCAGGGAAUCUUCCAGGUGGUGAUUUCAAGAAUCUGCAUGGCGAUUCCUGCCAUGGCCAUCCCCCCACUGAUCAUGGACACUCUGGAGAAGAAAGACUUCCUGAAGGUAGGCGACUGUACCUCUCUUGUCCUGGAAUGGGCGAUGGCUGGGAGAAGAAGUGACCAGGCCCAACUCUCUCUCCAGCCUCGCCUGAUUCUCUAAGACUUGCCAGCCCUUCUCCUGACCCCUGCACCGCCUCCUCCACCUUCGUUCAUUCAGCAAGAAUGAACUGGGCUG